GACGUAGGGCGCGAGCGUUGUCCGGAUUUAUUGGGCGUAAAGAGCUCGUAGGCGGCUUGUUGCGUCGGCUGUGAAAACCCAUGGCUCAACCGUGGGCUUGCAGCCGAUACGGGCAGGCUAGAGUUCGGUAGGGGAGAUCGGAAUUCCUGGUGUAGCGGUGAAAUGCGCAGAUAUCAGGAGGAACACCGGUGGCGAAGGCGGAUCUCUGGGCCGAUACUGACGCUGAGGAGCGAAAGCGUGGGGAGCGAACAGG
rnacentral:rRNA from 1 species